rnacentral:rRNA from 1 species
GCUUACAGCCAUGCCACCCUGAACAAGCCCGAUCCCAUCUGAUCUCGGAAGCUAAGCAGGGUCGGGCUUGGUUAGUACUUGGAUGGGACACCACCUAGGAAGAGCAGGUGCUGUAGGCG